rnacentral:tRNA from 1 species
UCCCUGGUGGUCUAGUGGUUAGGAUGCAGCACUGUCACCACUGUGACUGGGGUUCCAUCCCCGAUCUGGGAA